rnacentral:rRNA from 1 species
GAGGAAUAUUGGUCAAUGGGUGCAAGCCUGAACCAGCCAUCCCGCGUGAAGGACGACUGCCCUAUGGGUUGUAAACUUCUUUUGUAUAGGUAUAAACCUACCCUCGUGAGGGUAGCUGAAGGUACUAUACGAAUAAGCACCGGCUAACUCCGUGCCAGCAGCCGCGGUAAUACGGAGGGUGCAAGCGUUAUCCGGAUUUAUUGGGUUUAAAGGGUCCGUAGGCGGACUUAUAAGUCAGUAGUGAAAGCCUGUCGCUUAACGAUAGAACUGCCAUGGAUACUGUAAGUCUUGAGUAUAUUUGAGGUAGCUGGAAUAAGUAGUGUAGCGGUGAAAUGCAUAGAUAUUACUUAGAACACCAAUUGCGAAGGCAGGUUACCAAGAUAUAACUGACGCUGAGGGACGAAAGCGUGGGGAGCGAAC